AGUGUGGGGAAUGGCCACUACAUGAUGCCCAAGGACAGCAGUGUCCCGAAGGAAGCAGCUUUCGGUGGAGUAUGAAAGCACAAGACCCACUGAGAUGAGAGGCGAGGACCAGCCCUGAGGUCUCUGUCCCAGGUCCCCUCUAAAGUGCAUCACCGCAAGUCACCUGUACUCCAGUGGCCCUCACUCAGGCUGCGGCUACUCACCUCCUCGCCAUCGCUGCUGGGAAAUGGAAACUUGUAAGUCAAACAAUGUGACAAUCAUGGCUAUGCCUUCAAGUUUCUGAUAGUCAAGUAGGGGGACCAGUUGGCCGAUCUCCUUUCCAGAGCUGCAGAGGAAGGUGGCCGAGUCCUGGCGGCGUUCAUGGACACAAGGUGCUAAUAAUCUGGUGACUGCUUGGCAGGAGACAGUGACUCAGUGUUCAUUGUCAAGGCUUCUUCCCCCUCCAGGCUGAGCCGGAGAACAGGGACCACCUCAAGUAUUUUCUCAGUCUCUCCACGCUCAUUAAUGAUGCAAAGGAUCCUUGAGAACCCAUGGUCCCUGAGCUCUGCAUGCUGCAGAGAGCACACCCAGACGUCCGGGACUCUCCGGAACAAACACCCGCGGCCCCGCCGGAGUGCUGGUGAUGACUUCGUGGUGCGAUGUGAAGCAGACGUUAUGCGCAAUGAUUUCCAGCUCAUCCUUUUGCUCAUUCCCUAGAAAGACUAUAAGAUGCGUAACUUGUGUAGGAAGGAUUUAUCCUUCCUACAGUUGACAUCUUUAUUCAAAAAGGAGUGUGCAGCCUUCUUAAUCCUAGCUCUGCCAUCACUAUCUCUCAGCUUUUACAUUUAUUGUCUAACACAAGCAUGUCAAACCUGUGGCCCACAGGCCACAUGCGGCCCACAAUGAAUAUUUUUGUGGCCCAGCCAAUUAACGGUAUGUAAG